rnacentral:rRNA from 1 species
GACGAACGCUGGCGGCGUGCUUAACACAUGCAAGUCGAACGGAAAGGCCCUGCUUUUGUGCGGUGCUCGAGUGGCGAACGGGUGAGUAACACGUGAGUAACCUGCCCUUGACUUUGGGUUAACUUCAUGAAACUGGUGCUCAUACCGGAUAGGAGCUCCUGCUGCUUGGUGGGGGUUGGACAGUUUCGGCGGUUGGGGAUGGACUCGCGGCUUCUCAGCUUGUUUGUGGGGUAGGGGAAUACCAAGGCUUUGACGGGUUGACGGCCUGAGAGGGUGACAGGACAAACUGGGACGGAGAUAAGGCACAGACUCAUACGGGAGGCAGGAGUGGGGAAUAUUGCACAAUGGGAGGAAGCAUGAUGCAGCAAAGCCGCGUGCGGGAUAACGGCAUUCGGGUUGGAAACCGAUUUCGCCUGUGACGAAGCGAGAGUGACGGUAAUGGGUAAAGAAGCACCGGCUAACUACGUG